GUGCUUGCUUUGGCAGCACAUAUACUAAAAUUGGAAUGAUGCAGAGAAGAUUAGCAUGGCCCCAGCGUAAGGAUGACAUGCAAAUUCAUGAAGUGUUUCAUAUUUUU
ensembl:snRNA U6 U6 spliceosomal RNA